rnacentral:lncRNA from 1 species
CCAGAUAAUAAAAGGGUCUUCCUUUCUUUGAGGGCUUCCUUCAAAAACCUUGGCCUGCGAUGGCCUGGAUUGCAGGAGUCCUAUGAUGUUGGCUAGUCGGUGUAAUUGUCGGGCUUUUCCCUUAAUCCAUUUAUGCCUGAGGUUGCAAUUUUUUGAAUUUUUGCAAUUAGACCUUGGCGAUGACCUUGAGCAGUAGGAUAUAAAUAACUCCCUUGUGUUUAGCAUUCCAGUAAUGGAACACUAGCCAUAAUAAACCGUUCCAAAAAUGCGUUCUAAUGGCUCUCAAGCAAGGUCCACUUGCAGUGAAAUAAACCAGAGGUUUGAAUCAUGGCUUGAUACGAAAUUAUUGGAAAGAAUAUGGCGAUGACAUCCACAAUGCCGGAUAAAGAAAAUAUUUAGAAGAUGAGAUUCCUGUGUUUCUGGCUUUCAUAACUUUUUAGAUUUCCUUUCUACUGGAAAACUUUUAACUUUGAAAACCGCAAGUAAUAUUUUUCUUCCUGAAACCUCUGCAGUGGUAGCAAUGCACUGAAGUUUGAUUAAAAGUUUACUGGUCAUUCCUGCCAUGAGAAGAUGAUAGAGAAUAUCACCACAGUGUGACUUGCUUCCAAGGCAGCAUGGUUUCAUGCAGAGGAUCUAAACUGGGGACCAUGUGCUGGGCUGCAAAAGGGCUGUGCAGUGCCUAAAAUGUUAUGCAAAAUUUUAUAAAGGUAGGUCAUGUAUUGCUCCAUUGAUGCUGCCCUUAUUCAUGAUGAUUAAAGCCUUUGGGAGGUAUUCCUUCAGAAUAAUAGUGCACACCUUCUACUUAUUAAAAAAAAAAACAAACUGUAAAACAGCAUCAUGCAGGUUCUUCAGGAGAGAUUCCAGAGGAAGGCAUUGUUGUGGUAGAAGAUGACAGUUCCACAGGUGUUACUAGCCAUGAAGAUCUUCCAGUGAGACAAGAUGUGGAGGUGGAAGACAGUGAUAUUGAUGAUUCUGAUCCUGUUGUUAUAAAUAAAGUUUCGGUUCCACAAAAGAAA